AAUAAUACCCCAGUGGAUGUUGUCUCCCCAUCAAAUGGACAAAUCAGUGUCUCACAGGAAGGACUCUACAGGUGCAGAGGAGGAAGAGGAAACCCAGUUUACUACACAGAGGACAGCCAGUCAGUCAGGAUUGACAAAACUGUAACAGCCUCAAACAGGCCUGUUGUGACUCUGUAUCCAAACUGGUCUGAGAUAUACAGAGGAGAGACGAUCACUGUCAGAUGUGAGAUCCAUGGAGGAGACACUGAGUGGGAUUAUGAGUGGGAAACAAACAGCAGGAUAAAAGCUCCAAAUCAAAAUGAAUACAGGAUUAGAUCUGCUUCA